rnacentral:pre_miRNA from 1 species
UUACCGGCGGUUUCGGAUUCGCUUGGUGCAGGUCGGGAACUGAUUGGCUGACUCCGACAUAUGUUUUGUCAUGGUUGGCUUGUGAGCUCCUGCCUUGCAUCAACUGAAUCGGAGUCCGAGGUGAAA